CUCAGUUUUAAUAGCUCACCCGUUAAAAAUAAAAAAAACGUAAUAUUUGAACAUGUGCAUGGAUUUUUGUAAACUGUACUUCCUCUACGAAGAACUAUUGGGUUGAAACACAGAUCAUUAAAACUAUGGUCUUUGAAACAGAUUAGCCUACCAAAAUGAAUCUAAUAAUAAUAAUAAUAAUAAUAAUAAUAAUUAUAUACAGAUGGACAUUUGUAUAGCACGAAUUAUACUGGACCUGCAUGCAGCAUACUUCUGUAUGCAAGAAUAAAAAAAAAAAAAAUACAUUUCUAGGUUAAGGGACAUAAUUGGCAACAACAACUUAUGCUCAUUUGAUUUUGACGACAUAUGCGGUAUUUGUUGGCCAUUGUUAAGUUUAGUUUUGAUAAAUAAAUGUUGCAGCUUUUGGCAGGAUAUCCCUGCCUUUCUAGCUACGUUUCCUUUUCACAGUGUGUUCCCUCAUAUGGUCUCUGCCUCUGAGUAUGGCCUGAGCCACAGGGAGUAAUGUGGUAUAAGCUGCUGGGGGACUUAAGUUGCAGACUGUAGAAAGUAGGCAGCAAGGGCAAAACAUAUGUAUUAAUACUACAUAUAUGUAUCCAAUUAUUGUUUGCUUUACUGUGAGAACCAACUCCAAAGAACACAAACCUUUUGCUUCCAGCUCACAUCAGAUCCUGCAUUCUGGAGGCACUGUUUUACUG